rfam:Mesocricetus auratus contig172991, whole genome shotgun sequence.
CCCUGGCUAGCUCAGUGGUAGAGCGUGAGACUCUUAAUCUCAGGGUCGUGGGUUCGAGUUCUACGUUGGGAG